UGAGCUUCCGUCCAAACUUACCCGGUUCCCCGCGUUUUUUGCUCUGUCUUUGCUCCACCAUGCCUUGCUCUGAAGAGCUAUCGGUCGUCUCCCCCAGCAAGCGGACCCGGCCUGCGGAGGAGGGCGGCAUGCGGCUCCGCUUUGUGCGUCUUUCGGAGCACGCCACGGCCCCCACCCGAGGGUCCUCGCGCGCCGCAGGCUACGACCUGUACAGUGCCUAUGAUUACACAGUACCAUCUAUGGAGAAAGCACUUGUAAAAACAGACAUUCAGAUAGCUCUUCCUUCUGGGUGCUAUGGAAGAGUAGCUCCACGUUCUGGCUUGGCUGCAAAACACUUCAUAGAUGUAGGAGCUGGUGUCAUAGAUGAAGAUUAUAGAGGAAAUGUUGGUGUUAUACUGUUCAAUUUUGGCAAAGAGAAAUUUGAAGUAAAAAAGGGUGAUCGAAUUGCUCAGCUCAUUUGUGAACGGAUUUUUUAUCCAGAAAUAGAAGAAGUUCAAGUGUUGGAUGAUACUGAAAGGGGUUCAGGAGGUUUUGGAUCCACUGGAAAGAAUUAAAAUUUGGGUCAAGAAUAGAAAAUGAGAAACAUACUUUUUUUCGUAAAAGUUGAGAGUUGCUGGUUGC